UACAGAGGUCUCAAGCGUUGUUCGGAUUCAUUGGGCGUAAAGGGCGCGUAGGCUGCGGGGCAAGUCGGGUGUGAAAUCUCAGAGCUCAACUCUGAAACUGCACUCGAUACUGCUUUGCUCGAGGACUGGAGAGGAGAUUGGAAUUCACGGUGUAGCAGUGAAAUGCGUAGAUAUCGUGAGGAAGACCAGUGGCGAAGGCGGAUCUCUGGACA
rnacentral:rRNA from 1 species